GCCCUUGUAGUAUAAUUGGCAGUAUGUGGUCUUCCGGCGAUCACGAUCGGGGUUCGAACCCCCGCUCGGGCU